rnacentral:rRNA from 1 species
GACGAACGCUGGCGGCGUGCCUAACACAUGCAAGUCGAGCGGGGAUUUAAGUGGAAGUUCUUCGGAAUGGAGAUUUAAAUUCUAGCGGCGGACGGGUGAGUAACGCGUGAACAAUCUGUCCCGGACAGGGGGAUAACACUUGGAAACAGGUGCUAAUACCGCAUAAGACCACGGCCUCGCAUGGGGCUGAGGUAAAAGGAGCAAUCCGGUUCGGGGUGAGUUCGCGUCCGAUUAGCUAGUUGGUGAGGUAGCGGCCCACCAAGGCGACGAUCGGUAGCCGGCCUGAGAGGGUGAACGGCCACAUUGGAACUGAGAGACGGUCCAAACUCCUACGGGAGGCAGCAGUGGGGAAUAUUGGGCAAUGGGCGAAAGCCUGACCCAGCAACGCCGCGUGAGGGAAGAAGGUUUUCGGAUUGUAAACCUCUGUCCUAUGGGACGAAGGAAGUGACGGUACCAUAGGAGGAAGCCCCGGCUAACUACGUG